rnacentral:rRNA from 1 species
GUGGCCUACGGGACGCAGCAGUGGGGAAUAUUGCACAAUGGGGGAAACCCUGAUGCAGCGACGCCGCGUGAGUGAAGAAGUAUUUCGGUAUGUAAACCUCUAUCAGCAGGGAAGAAGAAAGACGGUACCUGACUAAGAAGCCCCGGCUAACUACGUGCCAGCAGCCGCGGUAAUACGUAGGGGGCAAGCGUUAUCCGGAUUUACUGGGUGUAAAGGGAGCGUAGACGGAGAAGCGAGUCUGAAGUGAAAGCCCGUG